GCCGUCAUAGCUCAGUGGUAGAGCGUUUCCAUGGUAAGGAAAAGGUCCCGGGUUCAAUCCCCGGUGACGGCUCCA
rnacentral:tRNA from 2 species